AACGAACGCUGGCGGCAUGCCUAACACAUGCAAGUCGAACGAGACCUUCGGGUCUAGUGGCGCACGGGUGCGUAACGCGUGGGAACCUGCCUUUAGGUUCGGAAUAACUCAGAGAAAUUUGAGCUAAUACCGGAUGAUGUCUUCGGACCAAAGAUUUAUCGCCUUUAGAUGGGCCCGCGUUGGAUUAGCUAGUUGGUGGGGUAAAGGCCUACCAAGGCGACGAUCCAUAGCUGGUCUGAGAGGAUGAUCAGCCACACUGGGACUGAGACACGGCCCAGACUCCUACGGGAGGCAGCAGUGGGGAAUAUUGGACAAUGGGCGAAAGCCUGAUCCAGCAAUGCCGCGUGAGUGAUGAAGGCCUUGGGGUUGUAAAGCUCUUUUACCCGAGAUGAUAAUGACAGUAUCGGGAGAAUAAGCUCCGGCUAACUCCGUG
rnacentral:rRNA from 1 species